rnacentral:rRNA from 2 species
CAACUUUUAACAACGGAUCUCUUGGCUCUCGCAUCGAUGAAGAACGCAGCGAAAUGCGAUAAGUAAUGUGAAUUGCAGAAUUCAGUGAAUCAUCGAAUCUUUGAACGCACCUUGCGCUCUCUGGUAUUCCGGGGAGCACGCCUGUUCGAGUGUCAUUA